rnacentral:tRNA from 1 species
AUUUAAAUAAUAUAAUAUAGUAUAUUUAAUUUCCAAUUAAAAAGUCUAAAUUUAGUUUAAAUA